GAUGAAGAACGUAGCGAAAUGCGAUAAGUAAUGUGAAUUGCAGAAUUCAGUGAAUCAUCGAAUCUUUGAACGCACAUUGCGCCCGCCAGUAUUCUGGCGGGCAUGCCUGUUCGAGCGUCAUUUCAACCAUCAAGCCCCCGGCUUGUGUUGGGGACCUGCGGCUGCCGCAGGCCCUGAAAGCCAGUGGCGGGCUCGCUAGUCACUCCGAGCGUAGUAAUACAUCUCGCUCAGGGCGUGCUGCGGGUUCCGGCCGUUAAAAAGCCUUAUUUACCCAAGGUUGACCUCGGAUCAGGUAGGAAGACCCGCUGAACUUAAGCAUAUCAAUAAGCGGAGGA
rnacentral:misc_RNA from 1 species